ensembl:snRNA U6 U6 spliceosomal RNA
GUCCUCACUUCGCAGCACGUAUACUAAAGUUGGAAUGAUACAGACAAUAUUAACAUGGCUCCUGUGCAAGGAUGGCUCACAAAUUUCCAUAUUGUU